rnacentral:rRNA from 1 species
CCUACGGGUGGCUGCAGUGAGGAAUAUUGGUCAAUGGGCGCUAGCCUGAACCAGCCAAGUAGCGUGAAGGAUGACUGCCCUAUGGGUUGUAAACUUCUUUUAUAUGGGAAUAAAGUGCAGUAUGUAUACUGCUUUGCAUGUACCUUAUGAAUAAGGAUCGGCUAACUCCGUGCCAGCAGCCGCGGUAAUACGGAGGAUCCGAGCGUUAUCCGGAUUUAUUGGGUUUAAAGGGAGCGUAGGCGGGUUGUUAAGUCAGUUGUGAAAGUUUGCGGCUCAACCGUAAAAUUGCAGUUGAUACUGGCAUCCUUGAGUACAGUAGAGGUAGGCGGAAUUCGUGGUGUAGCGGUGAAAUGCAUAGAUAUCACGAGGAACCCCGAUUGCGAAGGCAGCCUGCCGGGGUGCGACUGACGCUGAGGCUCGAAGGUGCGGGUAUCAAACAGGAUUAGAUACCCUUGUAGUC